UAGUCAUUUUUGAUUUUUAGUGUAAUGCUUUGAUUGGUACUUGUUGCAUAAUUUUAUUCAUUGCAUUACAUGUUUAAAUGAUUUUUGGUGCUUUGAAUUUUGUUUAUUUAAAAAUCAUUUUGAGGAAGAGGUGUUUUUAAAAUUUUUUUCUUUGAGAAAAGAGAUAAUUGAGAUUCAUGAUUUGGAGAGAGAAAAGGCGUUUGAACAGUGUUUAUCUUCACAAUCAUAUUAAGUUAAAUUCAUAUUAAUUAUCGUCUUUACUCCACUAUUUAUUAUUUUGACGAUAAUAUAUUAUAUGAUUUCUUAAUGCAUAAAUUCAUCAAAAUUUUGAAAUCAAAUUUGAUUUUUUGGUGAUUAAUUCAUCUUGGUUGUGAGUGUUGGAUAUGAUGAAUGGGUAUUCUCUAAUUGACUAAAAUUCGUCAAAAUUAUUUUCAAUUGUGAGAUUGUCUAAUUAAGGGGGAGUUUGAAAUUGUUUAAAAAAAAUAUAAAAAAAAGGGAGAAAAAGAAACUCCUAUGUUUAAAAGAUGUGGAAAGAGUUACAUCCUUAAAGGAGUGUGAAAACUACCACCACAUGUAGGAAAGAGCUACCACCCCGGUCGUCCGGCAAGUGUGUGAAGCUACCACAUGAAAAUUGAAUUGAUUAAACCGGAAAAAGUUGAAAAGAAACAAUUGAAUGUUUUAGAAUUUUCGGAGUAAUAAGGUGUUAGUUUGAAAAAGAUGCUCAAAGAGCCACCCCCGGUAUCAUAUUAGUUAAAUCUCUAUUUUGAACGUGUUACGACAAAUUGGUGUCAAUUUUUGUUGAAUUUCUAAAAAUCAUUUUUCAUCAACUUACAUCUUGAUGGUUUUGAAUCAUUAAAUUAUU
rnacentral:lncRNA from 1 species